UAAUGUCUGGGAAACUGCCUGAUGGAGGGGGAUAACUACUGGAAACGGUAGCUAAUACCGCAUAAUGUCGCAAGACCAAGUGGGGGACCUUCGGGCCUCAUGCCAUCAGAUGUGCCCAGAUGGGAUUAGCUAGUAGGUGGGGUAACGGCUCACCUAGGCGACGAUCCCUAGCUGGUCUGAGAGGAUGACCAGCCACACUGGAACUGAGACACGGUCCAG
rnacentral:rRNA from 1 species